rnacentral:rRNA from 1 species
UACGUAGGGUGCAAGCGUUAAUCGGAAUUACUGGGCGUAAAGCGUGCGCAGGCGGUGAUGUAAGACAGGUGUGAAAUCCCCGGGCUUAACCUGGGAACUGCAUUUGUGACUGCAUCGCUGGAGUGCGGCAGAGGGGGAUGGAAUUCCGCGUGUAGCAGUGAAAUGCGUAGAUAUGCGGAGGAACACCGAUGGCGAAGGCAAUCCCCUGGGCCUGCACUGACGCUCAUGCACAAAGCGUGGGAGC